GAUGAACGCUGGCGGCGUGCUUAACACAUGCAAGUCGAGCGAGAAGUUUUGAAAAGAUUCUUCGGAUGAAAUUUAAAAUGGAAAGCGGCGGACGGGUGAGUAACGCGUAGGCAACCUGCCCCAUACAAAGGGAUAGCAUUUGGAAACGAAUAUUAAUACCUUAUGAAACUUAACUAGUGCAUGCUAGGUAGGUCAAAGAUUUAUCGGUAUGGGAUGGGCCUGCGUCUGGUUAGCUAGUUGGUGAGGUAACGGCUCACCAAGGCGACGAUCAGUAGCCGACCUGAGAGGGUGAACGGCCACAUUGGAACUGAGACACGGUCCAAACUCCUACGGGAGGCAGCAGUGGGGAAUAUUGCACAAUGGGGGAAACCCUGAUGCAGCAACGCCGCGUGAACGAUGAAGGCCUUUGGGUCGUAAAGUUCUGUUCUAGGUGAUGAAAACUGACAGUAACCUAGGAGAAAGCCCCGGCUAACUCCGUG
rnacentral:rRNA from 1 species